GUACACCCUGAAAAUAAAUCCAGUUAUCCCAGGCUGGCAAUAGUCAUAGAUUAUUUUUCACCUUGAUCUGUGUUGCAUUUUUAUUUAGUGAAGAGUGGUAUGAUGGACUGGGAAGGGCUUGACACUGAGGUUUGGAAAAACUUUAUUCCAGUGGUCUUUUCCAAACGUGUCUACUCUGUAGAGAGAAUUAUUUACUUGCAAAUGUAGUGUGUGAAGAAGAGACUGUCUUGUCCACAAUACUUACUAAUUGUGUUGUUCAUCUCUCUGUUAAAGAAGGGAUCUUCACAAAUUGGAUUUGAGGCCAUAAGCAAAAAUUCCCACUGCAAUUAAUUUAAAAUUCUAAAUUGCCUGAGUCUUUUAAACAUGGCUAAAUUAAUUUUAUUUAUGGAAAAUUUUAAACAUACAUUGGAGUUGAAAAGAUUUUACCAGUGAAUUCUACUAUCAACACUGUACUAGGCUUGUAUUACCACAUAUCCAUCCAUCAGUCCUUGGAGUAUUUUAAAAUACAUACUUCAGUGUAAAUUUCAGACAAUACAUUUCCCUUAAACACUUCAACAUAGGUGUCAUUAACCAGAAUUUAUUAUUUGCUUAAAUAUUACUAUCUUUUAAAAAGCAGUGUAUAAAGUUGAUAACUGGAACCAAAUAACAUACAGUUUUUUCUCUUGUGGACUUUAAAAGCCUUCUGAUUUCUGUUUUUAUAUGUGCUUAGCAAGUGAAGGAAGACCGCUCCAUUCCAACCUCAAGUUUUCUGAUGUUGGUCAUUUUAAAGCUUAGUUGUCAUACCUUUUUAAAAUUCCAUAAAAAUUUUUUCUUUAUCCCACUUUUAUGGUGUAUUUUUGCUGAACUAUGCAGCUUCUUUAAAAAACUGUAAAUUACAGAUUGAGGUUUAUUAAAUGAGCUUAUUAUACCUCAUUCAUUCUAUUGCUGCUUUUCUCCAUGAUACCACGUCUCUCAUUACUUUCACCUGCUCUACCAGAACGUAGAGGUAGAGUCAAAUGCAUAGGUGAUUAGCUAUUUUAAACAACUUGAGAAGAACAGAUUUUGUAGUUUUGAAAGUUGAAACUAUUAAGUUAUCUAAAGCCUUUGAAUUCCUGAGAAGUGUCAUUGCCCAUCCUUCCUCUAGCCAUAAUUAGCAGGAUCAAAAAUGAUUGUACUGUACAAUGAGUUGUUGAAAUUGUGAGCCUUAGUAACCAUCCUUAGCUUUACUCUAGUACUGUUUAGGAAAAAGUUUUUUGACAUAUGCCUUUAUUUUUAUGCCAAUUUUUUUGUGGACAAAAUCUGAAGAAUUUAAGUGACUUGCUCCAGGUCAUGAAGAUUCAAUGGAUAAGUCAGAAUUGAAACUUCACUGUUCCUGAUUCAUAUUCUUGUGCUUCUGUGAUAAGCAUCAUGGCUUCCAAGAUAACUGAACAUUCCUUUGGGGACCGUAAAAUGAAAGUAUGUAUUUUUUACUAAUUAGACUAGUUUUUAGGCAUUUCACAAUUCUUUGAUUUUAAAGAUUUUUUUCAUGGUCAUGUUCAUGUUCCUCAUUAAGCCAGUGUAAUUGCUAAAAACCUCAUUUCACUGUUUAAUACCAACUAAUAAUGCAGGUUUUAUCAGAUUUCUUUUUGCAUUUAAAUAAUCUUCAUGAUUACUCAUGACUUUUUCUAUGUAAGUGCUUAAGUGACCCCCUCACUAGUGAAAAUAAAUGUUCUAUAUCACUAAUUCAAUGUAUAUUCUCUACAUGAUAUAUUUUUUUAAGGAAAAGUAACCCCAUGUGUCAGGAUGAGUGAUAUCCUAGGGCAAAGCACAUAUAAAGUUUAUUUCUAGUCUGCAAAUCUGGCAUUUACGGGAACAAAACUCUUUUAGAGUGGCUGGUCAUUGCCUUCUUUUGGUACUUGAGCACCUUUCUGUGGUUUUGUAAAUUGAUGUGUCAUUUUGUAAGAAUUUCAUGUUGAUUCUGUGUUAAUUGAUGUUCACCUUGUGGUAUCCUCAGCUGAUUGUAAUAAUUUAGUUUGGGUAUGGUGUGUCUGCUUUGAAAUGCCUUACUAGAGCAUGUCAAAUUUUGCUCUAAAGCAUUCCAUGUAUCUGCUAGGGCAGUAACUUGCCUCUCUGAGUUGUAUGCUCUAGAUUCAGAAGCAAAACUGAUUUUGCUUUCACCUUUAAGAUUGCAUUUUAGUGUAGUUAUUGUUUUAAAUUAGAGAAUAAAAUCAUAAAAAAAACAAGGGAGAACCCUUCAUUUAAUGGCAUGGCAAAUUUUUAAAACUGCUUUUGCUAUUUCACUAGAAAAAAAUCUAGUAAAGGAUAUAGCUAAAAAACGCCAGCCAGAACUGUAUGAAAUUGGGGUUGUUUCCUAAAAAUUUUUCUAAAUGUCAUACAGGGGUUUAACAUCUGUGUAUGCUGUUGGGGCUAAGUGCCAGUCACUAAUUUGGAAAUCUGUUUGCAUUCUGGGGCUGUAAAAUGACAAAAGUGUCAUGGGAUUAAAAUCAAUCAGCUGUGAAUUGUAAAAUUGAAAUCGCUUUUUUUGGUUUCAUUUUCUUCAGCAUAUUGAAUAUAGAAAUCCAAAAGAUAUUUAAAAUUUACACUGCUUAUGUUGAUGGCUCAUUUUGGCUGUGUAUCCUCACUUAUGUACUGAUUUCUGAUAAAAGCUUGACAUUAUUAUAACAGGUAUUUUGUGUUCAAUUUAAUAAAACAGUU
rnacentral:lncRNA from 1 species